GUUGCUUCUCACCAUCUACUCAUUCCCCUCAAUCCCACGCAGUCCCGAAAAGCAUCCAUAUUACCUGAAACCUGGCGGGGAGGAUGGAAGGAGAGAGAGCCAACAAGCUCAGGAUUUACAAGUAAAGCUGGUUUCUACCCCGAAGAUCCUGACAGCUCCGCAGAGUGCGGGCGCAGGGUCUGACAGUGCCCUCUAGAAGGGCUCUCCCACCCCAUCCCCUCCCCUUAGAGACAAGUCCUCCUUCAAAAGUCACUGCCUCCGAGAGAAGAUACCCCUUCACACCGCCCCAGGCCCCUCGGCAGGCUUCCUCAGCACCCGCCCCGCAGUCAGGCCCUCUAACCUGACCCGGUCCAGGCCCGGGCGGCUCACCCCUCCGGCCCGACCCCUCCCCCGCGCGGCCGCCCCUCCGCGUCAGACAAUGGGGCCCGACUCCCGGCCGCCAGCCUCUCCUGACCCAUCACCCUCGCCUCACCCCAGCCGAUGCCCCGACUUCUGCCCCAACCCUCCUCGACCCCUUUAAGAUCCCCCAAGCUGGCCCACGGACCCAGCCGACCGGUGCUCUCCUGAACUCACUAUUCGGGAUUCAUGCUGGACAUGUCACUGCAGCUGCCGCCGCCGCCACCGCCGCCCUUGCUGCCGCAGCCGCCGCCCUGACUCUCCGCGCCACGGCCCAUUUGCACACACAGUCGGAUGUAUCUUUCUGAGACAGCACCUGCAUCGUGACCCCACAACCUUCAAUGGCUCCACAUCCCAUGGAUGGGAGGGACACAGCCCAGAGCCAGCCUAAAAUCCAAUUCCUACCUUCGUCCCGGCCUUCAGGUUGAAUUGUAAUGUAUUAUCUUUUAGUUGCUACUAACCCUGAGCCAUUCUGCAAGACUGGAAAAUAAUAAGCAAUAAAAAUAGGCAAUUCAUCACUAUAUAGUGCCUACAAUUUCUGGGAGUAAUAUUAACUCAUUUUUAAAAAACCUAUGGCCUUAACAGCUCUCUUUAAUCAGCUCAGGAAUUUAAAUCUCCGCUAAACUUUAACACAUUAUCUUGAGUUAUUUAAUUACAAAGGGCAUAGUGUAAUACAUUGUCCAAAGUUUAUCUUCCAACUUCUAAGAACUAAGAAAAUUGUCUCCUGAGACUUACUGCAGAAUCACUUUAAAUUCCUACAACGCCAAAAUAUAGAAAGAAGGCACUUAUUUCUACCCAUACACUAAUUACACCCCUUAGCCCUCAAAUUCUG
rnacentral:lncRNA from 1 species